rnacentral:rRNA from 1 species
UACGUAGGGUGCGAGCGUUGUCCGGAAUUAUUGGGCGUAAAGAGCUCGUAGGCGGUGUGUCGCGUCGGCCGUGAAAACCUGGGGCUUAACUCUGGGCGUGCGGUCGAUACGGGCAUCACUAGAGUUCGGCAGGGGAGACUGGAAUUCCUGGUGUAGCGGUGAAAUGCGCAGAUAUCAGGAGGAACACCGGUGGCGAAGGCGGGUCUCUGGACAGUUCCUGACGCUGAGGCACGAAGGCCAGGGGAGCAAACGGG